AGCAAAACGGGACGAGAAGAGACCACAGGCACAGUUAACAAGAUGCUUCUUCAAUGGUAAAUUCUGUUUUUCGAAUGUUCUACUUGCUUUGGUUUUCGGUCCAUUUGACACACUCAGAUCUACACGAGUCCAUAAGUCUGCGUCCACCAGAUCAAGGUGGGUUAGAAACCACUGAACCAUUCUGUCUCCUGGAGGGCAGAACAACCAAAGCUUAACCACCGCACCAAACCUCCAACGGACAAUCUCAGAAAGCCAAUGAUGCUGCCCGACCCCUGCACAGCCUGUUGCCGUGGUAACAGUGCGGCAAGUACCUCGGUGUCUGUUCACGGUUAUGGGUGUCUGUUGCCAUCCUUCGGUGAAGGGAUUAAUCAUUACUCUGAUGACCUAGUGUUGAAUCAGGUUGGCACUGCUGCGCAUCUGACCGACUACCUGUCCGUCUGCCGACAAAGCAUGUGACACCUGGCGGAUACACGCACACCCCUUCAUUCCUUCAUCUGCUCCAGCCACACGGAAAUGGGGCACAUGCACUCCCAGCUGGACAGUUCUCUUUGGCACUAACAUUGCUUCUUGUUUUUGACGAGAAUGUUAUUUUUCAGCCUCUAUGUUUAGAGCGAGCAAUGUUUUCGGCGAUUUUGGUAUUUCAAAACCUUCUUUGACUGUAGUGGGUUUAUCAAUUAAGAUCAUUUUCUGUGUUUUGUACCUUUAAGAUUAAGAUUGCUUAACCACACAGUUUGUCUGUGUUUUAUUAGUAUAGUUUUUGUUUAACUGUAAUUAUUUUCUUUCUUGUCUUUCUGUUUUGGUUUAGUUUUCUUUUAUUUUAAACCUGUUGCUCUCAUACCCCCCCCAUUCAGGUGGUGAGUCUGCGGUGGUGAAUUGGUGUGUAUAUAUAUAUGUAUAGUAUAUAGCACAGAGAAUCAUAUCUGGGUAGUAAGUAUCCUCGUUUAAUGAUGAUGUAAGGAAAAGCUCCCUUGCUGCUUAGCAGUGGUGUGCUGUCAUUCAUGGUAUUGGUUAGCACACCUUCUAGGUGUAAUAAAAGUGAUCUCAUCUGCCAAAAGAGCUUUUGAUACAGUUGGAGACUUCACCUUGACUCUGACAUGUGGCCUGAAUGUACUUUCCGAUAUGUUCUUGGUAUUCUUGGUUGGUAUUCUUUCUCAAGAAACGUUGACACAAAAAACUUUACUCUUAUCCCUGUUUGUCUUUGGUUCCACAUGUAGUACCACAAAGUUUAAAGGUUACGAUGUACACAAGCAAGUGUAGUAGUUGAAAUAUAUAUUUUGUAUUCCUUAAACUAUGAACCUUAUAUAUUAAAUUAUAUGAAAUAUUAAAAUGAAAAUUGAAUACUUUAAUAGAUGUUUUAUUUAACUUUGGCAUGCAAAUUGUGUCAAUAAAGUGUAAAGUGUUUUAACACAAA
ensembl:lncRNA